CUCUUAUCUCUGGCUUCUUAAGAAAUAUGCAAACAACAUCGAUAUUUAACUUUUUUUCAUUUUAAACCAACUACAAAGAUAACAUGCUUAUCCUUUCAAGUAUAAUCAUGAGAUGGUUUUGAAGAUUUUGAAGAGUUUCCAGAUCUCAGACAAGCUGGCAUCUGUAAAGUCUUGGGACAAAAAAAGGGGCUGCAUCCUGCUUUAGAAAUACAAUCUAAAACAGAAGUCACUCAGUUACCAUAAAAACAGGGUUGCUCCAACUACAAAUCUUCAAAUUCUAACUUUUAUUUCCAGAUGGGAAAUACCAACAAUAAAAUUUUCUUUUCUUUUUAAAGGAGAAGUUGAAUCUAAGGGAAGAGUAAAAAGCUGAGGAGGAGGAAAGAAUAAGAAAAUGGCUGUAAAUGAAAGAAUUCAUGCUGCAAUUUGUUCUAAUAAAAACACAAUAUAUACCACAGUAGCAAUGAUAGUUAACAAACAAAAUCUAAAAAUAAAAUAGAAACCGAUACACAUUAAAUAGAUUAAGAUAGGUUUCAAUACUGAAUCCCUCCCCUUCUGCUUUCAUCUGAGAAAAAAAGAAGUUUGACAAGAAAUAUAGCAUUGUGAGUUAUGCCUUAGUCAUAAGAGCUGUAUUUUCACACCAUGAUUAACCCUUCAUGUUAACACAUGCAAAGUGAUUCAAUCUGAACCAACACUUAGAAAAAUUUUAACAUCUUCCCUGCAAAUGAUUGCUGAAAGAAGGGCAAUUUUAGAAGCUUAAGGAAAAUUGCAAGAGUCAACAACAAAAAGCAGAACCCAACCACCAUACUGUGAGAAAAUCCAAGCAGCUGCAAAGAGGACUAUUAUGGAGAAGAAUUUAGGCCCUCAGUCCAACUUUCCAGGCAUGUGAGUGAGCCACCUUGAAAGUGGAUCCUCUAGCCCUGCAUCAAGUCAUUACUGGUGACAUUUCAUGAAACCGAAACAAGUCAUGAGGUCUACCCAAACUGCAUAUUUGCGAGAAUUUAAAUGACUGUUGCUAUUUUAAGACCCUCAGUUUAGACUGGUUUGUUAUGCAGUGAUUGAUUACUGGUAUAACACAUUAUAUAUGUAUAUUAUCUAAGAAAGCAACCACUUUUAAUUCUGGUAUAAUUUAAAAUAAAUUUCAGUAUCUGA